CUGGUUACCGGGCAGAGGAAAUACUGUGGUCAUGAAGGUGGUUUUCCUAGGGUGAGGCUUAUCCACUGCACUCGGGGGGAUGUUCUGAUCUCUGCGAUUUCUUCAAAUGUCGAAAACUCGAAUGCAUAAUUUGUAGUAGUGGGGGACUGCGUUUUUUUUUUUUUUUU